rnacentral:rRNA from 1 species
UUAAGCGACUAAGCGUACACGGUGGAUGCCCUGGCAGUCAGAGGCGAUGAAGGACGUGCUAAUCUGCGAUAAGCGUCGGUAAGGUGAUAUGAACCGUUAUAACCGGCGAUUUCCGAAUGGGGAAACCCAGUGUGUUUCGACACACUAUCAUUAACUGAAUCCAUAGGUUAAUGAGGCGAACCGGGGGAACUGAAACAUCUAAGUACCCCGAGGAAAAGAAAUCAACCGAGAUUCCCCCAGUAGCGGCGAGCGAACGGGGAGGAGCCCAGAGCCUGAAUCAGUGUGUGUGUUAGUGGAAGCGUCUGGAAAGGCGCGCGAUACAGGGUGACAGCCCCGUACACAAAAAUGCACAUGCUGUGAGCUCGAUGAGUAGGGCGGGACACGUGGUAUCCUGUCUGAAUAUGGGGGGACCAUCCUCCAAGGCUAAAUACUCCUGACUGACCGAUAGUGAACCAGUACCGUGAGGGAAAGGCGAAAAGAACCCCGGCGAGGGGAGUGAAAAAGAACCUGAAACCGUGUACGUACAAGCAGUGGGAGCACGCUUAGGCGUGUGACUGCGUACCUUUUGUAUAAUGGGUCAGCGACUUAUAUUCUGUAGCAAGGUUAACCGAAUAGGGGAGCCGAAGGGAACCCGAGUCUUAACUGGGCGUUAAGUUGCAGGGUAUAGACCCGAAACCCGGUGAUCUAGCCAUGGGCAGGUUGAAGGUUGGGUAACACUAACUGGAGGACCGAACCGACUAAUGUUGAAAAAUUAGCGGAUGACUUGUGGCUGGGGGUGAAAGGCCAAUCAAACCGGGAGAUAGCUGGUUCUCCCCGAAAGCUAUUUAGGUAGCGCCUCGUGAAUUCAUCUCCGGGGGUAGAGCACUGUUUCGGCAAGGGGGUCAUCCCGACUUACCAACCCGAUGCAAACUGCGAAUACCGGAGAAUGUUAUCACGGGAGACACACGGCGGGUGCUAACGUCCGUCGUGAAGAGGGAAACAACCCAGACCGCCAGCUAAGGUCCCAAAGUCAUGGUUAAGUGGGAAACGAUGUGGGAAGGCCCAGACAGCCAGGAUGUUGGCUUAGAAGCAGCCAUCAUUUAAAGAAAGCGUAAUAGCUCACUGGUCGAGUCGGCCUGCGCGGAAGAUGUAACGGGGCUAAACCAUGCACCGAAGCUGCGGCAGCGACGCUUAUGCGUUGUUGGGUAGGGGAGCGUUCUGUAAGCCUGUGAAGGUGUGCUGUGAGGCAUGCUGGAGGUAUCAGAAGUGCGAAUGCUGACAUAAGUAACGAUAAAGCGGGUGAAAAGCCCGCUCGCCGGAAGACCAAGGGUUCCUGUCCAACGUUAAUCGGGGCAGGGUGAGUCGACCCCUAAGGCGAGGCCGAAAGGCGUAGUCGAUGGGAAACAGGUUAAUAUUCCUGUACUUGGUGUUACUGCGAAGGGGGGACGGAGAAGGCUAUGUUGGCCGGGCGACGGUUGUCCCGGUUUAAGCGUGUAGGCUGGUUUUCCAGGCAAAUCCGGAAAAUCAAGGCUGAGGCGUGAUGACGAGGCACUACGGUGCUGAAGCAACAAAUGCCCUGCUUCCAGGAAAAGCCUCUAAGCAUCAGGUAACAUCAAAUCGUACCCCAAACCGACACAGGUGGUCAGGUAGAGAAUACCAAGGCGCUUGAGAGAACUCGGGUGAAGGAACUAGGCAAAAUGGUGCCGUAACUUCGGGAGAAGGCACGCUGAUAUGUAGGUGAAGCGACUCGCGGAUGGAGCUGAAAUCAGUCGAAGAUACCAGCUGGCUGCAACUGUUUAUUAAAAACACAGCACUGUGCAAACACGAAAGUGGACGUAUACGGUGUGACGCCUGCCCGGUGCCGGAAGGUUAAUUGAUGGGGUCAGCGCAAGCGAAGCUCUUGAUCGAAGCCCCGGUAAACGGCGGCCGUAACUAUAACGGUCCUAAGGUAGCGAAAUUCCUUGUCGGGUAAGUUCCGACCUGCACGAAUGGCGUAAUGAUGGCCAGGCUGUCUCCACCCGAGACUCAGUGAAAUUGAACUCGCUGUGAAGAUGCAGUGUACCCGCGGCAAGACGGAAAGACCCCGUGAACCUUUACUAUAGCUUGACACUGAACAUUGAGCCUUGAUGUGUAGGAUAGGUGGGAGGCUUUGAAGUGUGGACGCCAGUCUGCAUGGAGCCGACCUUGAAAUACCACCCUUUAAUGUUUGAUGUUCUAACGUUGACCCGUAAUCCGGGUUGCGGACAGUGUCUGGUGGGUAGUUUGACUGGGGCGGUCUCCUCCUAAAGAGUAACGGAGGAGCACGAAGGUUGGCUAAUCCUGGUCGGACAUCAGGAGGUUAGUGCAAUGGCAUAAGCCAGCUUGACUGCGAGCGUGACGGCGCGAGCAGGUGCGAAAGCAGGUCAUAGUGAUCCGGUGGUUCUGAAUGGAAGGGCCAUCGCUCAACGGAUAAAAGGUACUCCGGGGAUAACAGGCUGAUACCGCCCAAGAGUUCAUAUCGACGGCGGUGUUUGGCACCUCGAUGUCGGCUCAUCACAUCCUGGGGCUGAAGUAGGUCCCAAGGGUAUGGCUGUUCGCCAUUUAAAGUGGUACGCGAGCUGGGUUUAGAACGUCGUGAGACAGUUCGGUCCCUAUCUGCCGUGGGCGCUGGAGAACUGAGGGGGGCUGCUCCUAGUACGAGAGGACCGGAGUGGACGCAUCACUGGUGUUCGGGUUGUCAUGCCAAUGGCACUGCCCGGUAGCUAAAUGCGGAAGAGAUAAGUGCUGAAAGCAUCUAAGCACGAAACUUGCCCCGAGAUGAGUUCUCCCUGACCCUUUAAGGGUCCUGAAGGAACGUUGAAGACGACGACGUUGAUAGGCCGGGUGUGUAAGCGCAGCGAUGCGUUGAGCUAACCGGUACUAAUGAACCGUGAGGCU